UCAUCAAUCGGAUUACAUUUGAGACAGCAAUCGUCAAUCCGAUUAGCCUAGGGAAAUUUUCUAUACUUACGUUGAGUACCAUUGUUCAAUCCAAUCCGAGAUCCGAUUAGUUAUCGUAAACACCCACGAGUCGUGAAGUAGGACUAUAUUUUGAGAUCAGUGGUGCCGAAGCAGUUAAAAACACUGGAGAUAUGUGUAUCGAGAUUUCUCUGCCAAAGCAUUUCCAAUCCAUGGUAUUUAUGUCUGUGUCGAGGUUGAGUGGCACGAAAACUGGCAGAGUCAUAAAGAACUUUACGUGACGGAGAAAAGAAGCUACAACUGAACAUAUUUACUCACUUACAAAAAAGAACACAAGGAAUGUACCAGCAAUCAAGAUAAACAAAUUAUCCCUCAAUAUCUUGAGUAAAACAAAGUGACAUUCUUUAUCCACUAGAGAUUCGAGUUGCAGAAUGCAAAAUAAAAAAGAAUAUUUUAUCUUUGCAGCAUCUACAACAAAGGAUCCAUUUCUUAAAAAGUUAGCUAAGUUCUAUAAUUUAUAUAGAAAGAACAUUUUACAUUGACAUUGUAUAAAUUUAGAAUCUAUACAUGUAUACAGGAUAUUUAACGAGAGGUGAGAAAUAAAGAUUUUUUUUCUUA